rnacentral:rRNA from 1 species
AUUGAACGCUGGCGGCAUGCUUUACACAUGCAAGUCGAACGGUAACAGGGUGCUUGCACCGCUGACGAGUGGCGAACGGGUGAGUAAUGCGUCGGAACGUGCCGAGUAGUGGGGGAUAACGCAGCGAAAGUUGUGCUAAUACCGCAUACGUACUGAGGUAGAAAGUGGGGGACCUUCGGGCCUCACGCUAUUCGGGCGGCCGACGUCUGAUUAGCUAGUAGGUGAGGUAAAGGCUCACCUAGGCGACGAUCAGUAGCGGGUCUGAGAGGAUGAUCCGCCACACUGGGACUGAGACACGGCCCAGACUCCUACGGGAGGCAGCAGUGGGGAAUUUUGGACAAUGGGCGAAAGCCUGAUCCAGCCAUGCCGCGUGUCUGAAGAAGGCCUUCGGGUUGUAAAGGACUUUUGUCAGGGAGGAAAUCCCUAGCGUUAAUACCGCUGGGGGAUGACAGUACCUGAAGAAUAAGCACCGGCUAACUACGUGCCAGCCGCCGCAGUAAAAC